GCGGAACUAAAUGCGUUGUCUCUGCUGCUUGGUGGCUUUUCCUUGCUCUCUCCAGGUAGGGGAUGGCAAAAUCCUCACUGGAGAAGUGGGGUUUUGUCCCUCCCCGCUCUCCAACAGGGGUUUUUGUGUAUAAAUAAUGUUGGGUUUGUUACAGACAGAUCCCGGUCUAAAUGGAAAGGGAUUUUGCUAGAUAUGUCAAUUAUUUGGUCUUGAGUUGUUUGCAUGUAGGUGUUUGGAUACGUUCUCUGUUUUCCAAGGGUUGUGAUUCAUGCCAUUUGUCAUGGAAAGAGAGACCCCGAGGGUCGAGGAGUUUGGCUCACUAGUCUUCGGACCAUGGCCUCCCCCUUCGGCUAGAUGAUAAUGAGAUGCCAUGUGGCUCGCUUUCUUCCUCUUCUUCCUCUUUUGCUUCUUCCCCUAUAAGUUUGAUCUAUCCAUGGUGCAAAGUUUGGUUGUUUGUUGUUCCUAAGGCUUGCUUAGCAAUUGGGGAAUGAAAUUUUUGUGAGAAAUCUCUCCUUGGUGGGCUAUAGCAGAAUUCUAUUCCUCUGAGCUUUACUUUGUCAUAAGCUUCCUCGGUUGGACUUGUAGGUUGAAGAUUUGAAUGAUGCCUGAAUGAUGCCUGGAAUAUACUCUGCUUUGGAGUCUUCUCAAUGCCACUGGUCUUCCAUAUGGGUGUGUAAUGCUAGGGUUUCUAAUUUUCUGUUGGGUCUCUGGCCUCCCCUCUGAUAAUGGGCUAGGAAGUCCUUAGGGCCCAUUUUAGUUACUCAACUCGUGUUUCUAAUUUGGCUUAUGAGUUUUAGGUAAUGUUCUUAAGCUAGGUUUCUAGUCUUAUGUUGUAAUGUUGGAUUCCAGUGAAUCCUUUAAUAUGUACGGGGUCUAGACUUAAUCUGCAAUGAAAUACUACCUAUUGAGAAAAAAAUAAAUAAAUAAAAUGAAGCCUUACAACCAACCUUAGCUGAGACUGUUCAAGACAUCCUGGCUUUUGUUGUUAUCUUUGAG
rnacentral:misc_RNA from 1 species